rnacentral:rRNA from 1 species
UACAGAGGGCUCAAGCGUUGUUCGGAUUCAUUGGGCGUAAAGGGUGCGUAGGCGGCGCGGUAAGUCGGGUGUGAAAUCUCGGGGCUUAACUCCGAAACUGCAUUCGAUACUGACGGCCUUGAGUACGAAAGAGGAUCGCGGAAUUCCCGGUGUAGAGGUGAAAUUCGUAGAUAUCGGGAGGAACACCGGUGGCGAAGGCGGGUCUCUGGGCAGUAACUGACGCUGAGGAGCGAAAGCGUGGGGAGCGAACAGG